GCAAGAAAGAACCCUCAAGUGGAAUUGCUGCUGGCAGUUGGAGCCACACCAGUGUUCUCAGAAUACACCCUGUCCUUUCCAAUUUCCUUCAUAUGAUGUAACCACCAACAGUCUCGGAGUAACAAGUCUUAAAUUCUGAUUCUCAGUCUGCUGAAGUACCAUUUGACCUCAUGGGGAAAAAAAUCUAACAUUCACAACUACCGGUGUCAGGAAGAAGAGAGAGAGAGAAGAAUGAAAUGUUUUCCAUCACAGUGAAUUCUUAAGCAUGUUCUUCACGAUGAAUAAUCUGGUAUCAUGUGAGAUGAGGAAAUAAGAAGCUUUCUGCUGACUUCAUUGCGACCCAGGGUCCAAAAGGUGAUGUAAUCCUGUGGCAAGAAGAUUCAAAACUGUGAGCUAUCUUGCAAAAAAUACAAGAAGAUAUGGAAAGUUUUCGUGAGUGCCUACCACCUAAUCCCAAACACUGUCAUUCAUAUGCGCGACAUUGAGCAAAUCAUUAUUGAGGAUCUAUAUGCCAGGUAUGUGCUAAGCGCUGGGCUUACUGUGGCAAAGAGAACAGAUAUGACCUUGAGGUUUCUGCUCUCACAAAGCUUGCAGUCUCCUAUUUGUGUAUGUGUAAUUCUCUAAAGCUCAGGAAAGCUGUUUACCUCAUUUUGCUUUGGCAUCAUAUUUUUAGGCUAUAGAAAUCAGAGAGUAUGCAAACAUUUUCUAAAAUUACUCUGCCCCACAAAAAGGGAGACACAAAUAACAAUUUGGGGCCAGAUAGAACUGGAUUUGAAUUCCAAGCCUGCCCUUUACAAGCUAUUAAACAAACGAAUUCUCUGAGCCCCUGUUGCUUUCAUGAAGUGGAAAUAAUAUGUAUCCCUUGUAAGGGAUCAUAUCCUUAUUAAUACCUAAAUAGAGACAUUACUUUUUGAAUCAAAAAUAUGAAUUAUAUGGUCCAUCUCCUAAAAUGCAGAAAAAUUAUCAAAAGAGAAGCAUUAUUAAUAUUGUUCACUUAGUUUCAUGAAGAAUGUCACUUUCCAGCAUUAAUACAGACAGAUAUUCUUUGCCAUUGACUUUUUCCUUUUUUCAAAUAAGGUAAAAUAUUCUAACAAUGGAUGCCACUACAACAGAGUUUCUGUAAGGCUGUUAGUUUCCUUUUCCAUGGAUAGUUUCCAUGGCCUUGCUCCACAUAAACUAAGCCCUAUUAUUUCAGUUAUGAUGACUAAAUCUAGUAUGACCAUUAUUUGUCUGUAUAAGGGAUCUUGUAGUUAUCUGUGUAUAAACUUAUCACUCCAUCUAUUUAAUGAUUUGACUAAGUCAAGGAUCAUAUUUUAUUUCCCUCUGUUCUCCCCUCCCAGUGGUACCUCACACAGAAUUAGAGCACACUAAAUGUGUGCUGAGUAAAAAGACUAUCUUACUAUGUGCUUUUUGACAUGUAAGCUGAGAGAGAAAAUUUGGCGUAUGUUGUAGGUAAACUUACUUUGUUUUACCUGGGAGUAGCAAGUAUCAAACAGAUCAUACUCCUGUUACAAUCCUGCUAGAGGAAAAAAAGUAGUUAAAUUCCCCAAUCUCUACUCAAACCAAAACAAAACUUCAAAAAUAUUGAGACACAGAGAGAAGGAAUAGGAUGGGGUCAGGGAGGACUGGUGUUUGUGCAUGGUGUGCAUGCAGCAGGCUAACGUCCUUUCCCUGUUGUAAUAGCUCCGAAUGUAAGUGCCACACAACACCAGGUCUAUGAAAAGCCCGGGGUUUAAAGGUCAAACAAGUUUGGGAAAGCUUGCCCAGCAUUUUCCUCUCUUGCAAGUUGGUGGUGCAUACUGGUAAAUUAAAGCCUAUAAAAACUGCUUAACAUUGUUUUACCUUGCAGUCCCCAAAUUCAUUUGACCAGCGUUUCACCUAUAAACAUCCCACAGAUCUGGUAGAUUCUGUGGAAGGCACAGACUUCAGGAAACUGCUCCACUGUGUUGAAAGGACUUCUUUCUCUUGUUCAUUCACACACAAAAAGCUGCCAUUUUAUUUCCAAAUCCUACAGGACUGGGAAUGUGAGCAUUUCCAGCAAUGUUUUAACUAUAGAAAAGUGAGACCACUUCCUGACAAUUUAGCGGUCCCAGAAAGUUUAUACAAUUGAAUUUUAGGUAUGUAAGAAGUCAGUUCGAAUCCAGGAAAUGGCUUCUCAGCAAUGCCUGGAAUGUCCUCAUAAAAACUGAGAAACAGAUAUCCAAGUCCUGUUUUGGAUCUUGGAGGGACAGAGAGAAAGAAGAGAAAAACAUAAAAUUAUAGUCCCAAAUCUCAUGAUGUUUCUUCCAGUUUUCUACAAAUAAAUAUCCACUUUCUCUGAACUCCAU